AGCAGCCGCGGUAAUUCCAGCUCCAAUAGCGUAUAUUAAAGUUGUUGCAGUUAAAAAGCUCGUAGUUGAAUUUCGGGAUUGGCGCAUCGGUCGUGCCUCACGGGGUAUGAACUGGUGCAGUCAAUUUCUCACCUUCUGGAGAACCGCGAUGUCCUUAAUUGGAUGCCGCGGGGAACCAGGACCUUUACUUUGAAAAAAUUAGAGUGUUUAAAGCAGGCAUUUUUGCUUGAAUACAUUAGCAUGGGAUAAUAAAAUAGGACGGCAUGGUUCUAUUUUGUUGGUUUCUAGGACCACCGUAAUGAUUAAUAGGGAUAGUUGGGGGCAUUAGUAUUCAAUUGUCAGAGGUGAAAUUCUUGGAUUUAUUGAAGACUAACUACUGCGAAAGCAUUUGCCAAGGAUGUUUUCAUUAAUCAAGAACGAAAGUUAGGGGAUCGAAGGCGAUCAGAUACCGUCGUAGUCUUAACCAUAAACUAUGCCGACUAGGAAUCAGACGAUGUUAAUUUUUUAAUGACUCGUUUGGCACCUUACG
rnacentral:rRNA from 1 species